rnacentral:rRNA from 1 species
AGAGUUUGAUCCUGGCUCAGAGUGAACGCUGGCGGCAGGCCUAAUACAUGCAAGUCGAACGGCAGCACAGCAGAGCUUGCUCUGUGGGUGGCGAGUGGCGGACGGGUGAGGAAUACAUGGGAAUCUGCCCAGUCGUGGGGAUAACGUAGGGAAACUUACGCUAAUACCGCAUGCGCCCUUCGGGGGAAAGCCGGGGACCGUAAGGCCUGGCGCGAUUGGAUGAGCCCAUGUCGGAUUAGCUAGUUGGCGGGGUAAAGGCCCACCAAGGCGACGAUCCGUAGCUGGUCUGAGAGGAUGAUCAGCCACACUGGAACUGAGACACGGUCCAGACUCCUACGGGAGGCAGCAGUAGGGAAUAUUGGACAAUGGGCGCAAGCCUGAUCCAGCCAUGCCGCGUGAGUGAAGAAGGCCCUCGGGUUGUAAAGCUCUUUUGUCCGGAAAGAAAAGCGCCGGGUUAAUACCCUGGUGUCCUGACGGUACCGGAAGAAUAAGCACCGGCUAACUUCGUG